rnacentral:rRNA from 1 species
AUGUCACCGUCGUCGUCGCUCUACUCCGGCCGUCUCCUCUCCUCCCGCCCGGCGUCCAAGGGGCUCGUACGUCGUCUCCUCAAUCACGAUGGGAGCAGGUGGGUCAGGCCGUCGUGCUCCCUGUCUAUGAACGGCUGCGCGGCCGGCGUGGGCGCGGUGACCAUGCACGAGACGCGGGUCCUGCCGGCCGCGUCGGCGCCGCAGGAGGCCGUCGGGCAGCUCAGGGCCGCCGUCGCCGCGCUCAACGCCGACCCGCCGGUGUCCUCCUCCGGCAUCAUCCGCAUCGAGGUGCCGAUUCGGCAGCGAGGGGACGCCAUCGAGUGGCUGCACGCGCAGAGGCAGAGCUCCCUGCCCCGCUGCUUCUUCUCCGCCCGGGCGCCGCUGCCGGACACUCCGGCCCUCGCCGUGGGCAUCAGCAGCAACGGCAACGGCAGCCACAAGGAGCAGUGGGAGCAGCCGGUAAGCGUCGCCGGCGUGGGGUCGGCGGUCUUCUUCCGCGGCACGGACCCCUUCUCCCUCCGCGACUGGCGAGCCAUCAAGAGAUUUCUUUCAAGGGACUGCCCGCUGAUCCGCGCCUACGGCGCCAUCCGUUUCGACGCGUCGAGCGACGCCUCGGUCGAAUGGGAAGACUACGGCGCAUUCUACUUCGUCGUUCCACAAGUUGAGUUCAGCGAGCUCGAGGAGGGCUCGGUUCUCGCGACGACGAUUGCGUGGGACGACUCCCUUUCUUGGACAUGGCAGAGCGCUGUGGAGGAGCUUCAAUCGACAUUGCACGAGAUAUCACCCUGUUCAGUUAAGGUGAACAGGUCCACCCUGCAAACCGCCAUCGUAAAUCUCAAUCAUGUCCCCACCAAGGCGUCCUGGGAUCUUGCUGUUACUCAAGCUCUUCGGAUGAUCAAAGGGAGCCAGACGGAAUUAGUCAAGGUUGUGCUGGCAAGGUGCAGCAGGUACAUCACUGAUACUUGCAUCGACCCUCUGGAGCUGUUAGCUUGUCUGAAGGUUGAGGGCCAGAAUGCCUACCAGUUCUGCAUACAGCCACCCGAUGCUCCUGCAUUUGUUGGAAAUAGUCCAGAGCAACUAUUUCACCGGAAAUACUUGAACAUUUCCAGCGAGGCUUUAGCCGGUACGCGAGCAAGAGGGAAAACAAGGGCUGAUGAUUUUCAAAUUGGCCAGGAAUUGCUUCUAAGCAUCAAAGAGGACACUGAAUUUACUAUAGUACGGGAAAGCAUAAAGAAGAAGCUUGAGAUGAUCUGUGAUGAGGUUGUUGUCAAUCCCAGUAAGGCCCUUCGGAAACUUCCAAGAGUACAACAUUUGUCAGCUCAAUUAGCUGCAAGAUUAAGAAAUGAGGACGACGAGUUUGACAUCCUAAAUGCUCUUCAUCCAAGCCCAGCUGUUUGUGGUUUGCCCACUGAAGAAGCGCGCCAAUUCAUACGAGAUUAUGAAAUUUUCGACCGUGGAAUGUACGCUGGACCUGUUGGUUGGUUUGGUGGAGCUGAAAGUGAGUUUGCUGUUGGAAUUAGAUCAGCACUACUUGGAAAAGGAUAUAGCACUUUAGUUUAUGCCGGUGCCGGGAUUGUCGAAGGUACAAAUCCAUCUUUUGAAUGGGAUGAGCUUGAUCUCAAAGCAUCUCAGUUUGCAAAGUUGUUGCAGUAUCAAGAACAUCAUAUUUGCUACCAAGAGGCAGGAAACAUGGGGACAUUGAUUUGA